CCACACUUACCCGACUUGGUGAAAAAACAUGACCCGGGAACUACAAAAGCAAACACCGUUUUGUAUUCCUCUAGGUAAGUUUUUGAAACGCAACCUGUUUUACAAGUUGCCCAAGCUCAAAGAAAAGGUGAGUUUUCAGGAUGCCUUGUAUACGGCUAGUAGUUUAAAGCUCGCUAAAAAAGUGCGUCAUGUUAAUCAGUCUGGUGGCAACUACCACUUUAAGCGUGCUGGUAAUUCAAUGAGUAUUCCCUGAAACAUUAAGCGCUUUAGUGCUGAAUUGGACAUUUGUAAAGACUUAAUUCGUUUAAAUGCUCAGGAAAUUGCCCUAGUGCACUUAUUGCGACAACAGUUUCGGGUGCAACUUAAAGAAAAGCAGAUACAACUAGCGGUUACCCGUGACUUUAACUUUAGUGGGUUCUCUUGGUACACCCGCUGCUUUUUAUGGAUGGUAUACCAAACGAUGUUAAAGCGCUACUUUUACUUACAAACAACUAAACAAUAAAAAAGGCUGUGCAGCCAAACCACACAACCCUUUUUAUUUUCUUUACUUUAACUAUUUCAACAAGUCCGCGUAACGGUUCUUUUCCUUACUUGCCACCAAGAACUGUCACUGGUUUAACUUCCACUUUUUGGUCAUUUCACUUACCAGUUCAUC
rnacentral:sRNA from 1 species